CCUACGGGAGGCUGCAGUGGGGGAUAUUGCACAAUGGGGGAAACCCUGAUGCAGCGACGCCGCGUGGGUGAAGAAGUAUUUCGGUAUGUAAAGCCCUAUCAGCAGGGAAGAAAGAAGACGGUACCUGACUAAGAAGCCCCGGCUAACUACGUGCCAGCAGCCGCGGUAAUACGUAGGGGGCGAGCGUUAUCCGGUUUCACUGGGUGUAAAGGGGGCGUAGACGGCCGUGCAAGCUAGGAGUGAAAGCCCGGGGCCCAACCCCGGGACUGCUCUUGGAACUGUGCGGCUGGAGUGCGGGAGGGGCGGGCGGAAUUCCUGGUGUAGCGGUGAAAUGCGUAGAUAUCAGGAGGAACACCGGCGGCGAAGGCGGCCUGCUGGACCGCGACUGACGUUGAGGCUCGAAAGCGUGGGGAGCGAACAGGAUUAGAUACCCCGGUAGUC
rnacentral:rRNA from 1 species